GAAAAACUGUUGUGUCAAUCAACUUGUAUAUCUCAUCGAUUCAUCUAUGGUAGAGCUACAUAUUUAUAGGCUUACAAGAUAGGAGAUUAAGUAUUACAUUUACAACAUAUGAAUAAAUUACAAGCACUAACUACAAAUAUUUAAGACAUAAGUUAUAUAGAAUUAAAAAGGGUAGAAUGCUAAAAUGUAUGGUGGUUAUCCACCA
rnacentral:lncRNA from 1 species